GACGAACGCUGGCGGCGUGCCUAAUACAUGCAAGUAGAACGCUGAAGGAGGAGCUUGCUUCUCUGGAUGAGUUGCGAACGGGUGAGUAACGCGUAGGUAACCUGCCUGGUAGCGGGGGAUAACUAUUGGAAACGAUAGCUAAUACCGCAUAAUAGUAGAUGUCGCAUGACAUUUGCUUAAAAGGUGCAAUUGCAUCACUACCAGAUGGACCUGCGUUGUAUUAGCUAGUUGUUGAGGUAACGGCUCACCAAGGCAACGAUACAUAGCCGACCUGAGAGGGGGAUCGGCCAAACUGGGAAUGAGACACGGCCCAGACUCCUACGGGAGGCAGCAGUAGGGAAUCUUCGGCAAUGGACGGAAGUCUGACCGAGCAACGCCGCGUGAGUGAAGAAGGUUUUCGGAUCGUAAAGCUCUGUUGUAAGAGAAGAACGAGUGUGAGAGUGGAAAGUUCACACUGUGACGGUAUCUUACCAGAAAGGGACGGCUAACUACGUG
rnacentral:rRNA from 1 species